AGCGCGGAGGGAGGCGCGCGCGGGAGCGAACAUCCUCCCGGAUCCAGAGCCCGGCGGCGGCGAAGCAGCAGCUGCGGCCGCGCCCUUGCCAGAGCAGGUGCGUCCGCCUAGCCCCGCUCCGCCUGAGGCCGUCAGGGCUCCCGAGGAUGGAAGAUUCCCAGGAGACAUCGCCGUCCUCCAACAACUCCUCGGAGGAGCUCAGCUCUGCUCUGCACCUGUCCAAGGGCAUGUCGAUCUUCCUCGACAUACUGAGGAGAGCAGACAAAAAUGAUGAUGGAAAAUUAUCCUUUGAAGAAUUCAAAGCAUAUUUUGCAGAUGGUGUUCUCAGUGGAGAAGAAUUACACGAGCUUUUCCAUACCAUUGAUACACAUAAUACUAAGUAAGAAACUUUUUUAUCACUGGAUUCCACAAGUGAGGCACAGAGAGCGUGAAUGCAUUCAUGUCCAGGAAGAAGAAAGGGAGGAACAAUAUAGAGGGUAUAUUUUGCCAUGUUUGCCUAUGCUUAAUUCUGAGAUACCUCUUUAGUAAUUAAAAUUGCUCUGAAAAAUUGACUUUGAAUCAGAAAAUAAUGAUCUUUUGUAGAAAGCUCCCCUGAAGUGUUUUUAGAUUGUUCCCACUUUGCAGAAUGUAAAACAAAGUAUAAAUUAUAAAUAAAU
rnacentral:sRNA from 1 species